AUUGAACGCUGGCGGCAGGCUUAACACAUGCAAGUCGAGCGGAGUGCUGGUGCUUGCACUAUCACUUAGCGGCGGACGGGUGAGUAAUGCUUAGGAAUCUGCCUAUUAGUGGGGGACAACAUCUCGAAAGGGCUGCUAAUACCGCAUACGUCCUACGGAAGAAAGCAGGGGAUCACUUGUGACCUUGCGCUAAUAGAUGAGCCUAAGUCGGAUUAGCUAGUUGGUGGGGUAAAGGCCUACCAAGGCGACGAUCUGUAGCGGGUCUGAGAGGAUGAUCCGCCACACUGGGACUGAGACACGGCCCAGACUCCUACGGGAGGCAGCAGUGGGGAAUAUUGGACAAUGGGGGGAACCCUGAUCCAGCCAUGCCGCGUGUGUGAAGAAGGCCUUAUGGUUGUAAAGCACUUUAAGCGAGGAGGAGGCUCUUUUGGUUAAUACCCAAGAUGAGUGGACGUUACUCGCAGAACAAGCACCGGCUAACUCUGUGCCAGCCGCCGCCGUAA
rnacentral:rRNA from 1 species